GCAAGAUACCACGGGCGCACGGCGGAUGCCUUGGCACAGGGAGCCGAUGAAGGACGCGGCAAGCUGCGAUAAUCCCCGGCGAGGAGCACACAUCCUUCGACCCGGGGGUCUCCGAAUGGGCGAACCCAUGCACAGCGGUGUGCAUAUCCCCGGCCCGAACACAUAGGGCCGGGGAGGACAACCCGGGGAACUGAAACAUCUAAGUACCCGGAGGAGAGGAAAUCAAUCUCGAGACUCCCCGAGUAGCGGCGAGCGAAAGGGGACCGAUGGCCAAACCGUCGAGCGGGCAUACCCGGCAGGGGUUCCGCCGGCGGGGUUGCAGGGCCGCGCAUCCGGGGGCUGCCGCCCCCGGGCGCAGGUCCGGCUGGGGAGCGGAACGGCAUGGGAGGGCCGGCCGCAGCGGGUGACAGCCCCGUACGCGAACCCAGACCGGACGGCGCGACGCGGUCCCUGAGUAGGGCCGGGCACGUGAAACCCGGUCCGAACCUGGGUGGACCACCAUCCAAGCCUGAGUACUACCCUGUGACCGAUAGCGCACCAGUACCGUGAGGGAAAGGUGAAAAGCACCCCGGGAGGGGAGUGAAACAGUACCUGAAACCGUGCGCCCACGAGCAGUCGGAGCACCUUUAUGGUGUGACGGCGUGCCUUUUGUAGAAUGAGCCAGCGAGUCGCUGGCGCGGGGCGAGGUUAACCGAAAGGGAGCCGGAGCGAAAGCGAGCCUUAACAGGGCGACUUGAGUCCCGCGCCGCGGACGCGAAGCCGGGUGAGCUAUCCGUGGGCAGGCUGAAGCGGGGGUAAGACCCCGUGGAGGGCCGAACGCACGUCGGUUGAAAACGGCGGCGAUGACCUGCGGAUAGGGGUGAAAGGCCAAUCAAACCCGGAGAUAUCUCGUUCUCCCCGAAAUAGCUUUAGGGCUAGCGUCGCGCGUUCACCGCCGGAGGUAGAGCACCGGAUGGACGAGGGGGCUUCGCCGCCUACCGAAUCCAACCGAACUCCGAAUGCCGGCGGCCCAGAGCGCGGCAGUCAGAGCAUGUGGGCUAAGCUGUGUGCUCGAGAGGGAAACAGCCCGGACCGCCCGCUAAGGUCCCCAAGUUCCAGCCGAGUGGCAAAGGAUGUGCGUCCGCCCAGACAACCAGGAUGUUGGCUUAGAAGCAGCCAUACAUUCAAAGAGUGCGUAACAGCUCACUGGUCGAGUGGACAUGCGCCGACAAUACACGGGGCUAAGCUGGACACCGAAGCGGCGGGAUUUUAAUUCAUUAGAAUCGGUAGGGGAGCUUCCCAUGGGCGGAGAAGCCGGAGGGCGACCGACGGUGGAGCGCAUGGGAGUGAGAAUGCUGGCAUGAGUAGCGAGAGACGAGAGAGUAACUCGUCCGCCGUGAACCCGAGGUUUCCUGGGCAAGGCUAAUCCUCCCAGGGUCAGUCGGGGGCUAAGGCGAGGCCGGGAGGCGUAGCCGACGCGCAGCAGGCAGACAUUCCUGCACCGCGCACGCGGCGCUACGACCGACGGGGCGACGGAUGGGGGUGGCUCGGCGGGGUUCUGGACGUCCCCGUGAUGGAGCGCGGCCCGCGGACCAGGGAAAUCCGGUCCGCAUCAAGGGCGAGGCUCCGGACGAAGCACUUAAGCGAAGCGAGUGAGCCCGAGGUCCCUAGAAAAACCCCUAGGCAGGCGCGUGCGCGCCCGUACCGCAAACCGACACAGGUGGGUGGGUAGAACAUACCGAGGCGAUCGGGUCAACCAUGGUCAAGGAACUCGGCACAAUGGCCCCGUAACUUCGGGAGAAGGGGUGCCCGCGCGUACGUGAACCGGCUUGCCCGGGGAGCGGAGGCGGGCCGCAGUGGAGAGGCCCAAGCGACUGUUUACCAAAAACACAGGACUCUGCAGAAGCCGCAAGGCGACGUAUAGGGUCUGACGCCUGCCCGGUGCCGGAAGGUCACGCGGAGGAGUUAGCGCAUCGCGCGAAGCCCCGAAGCCAAGCCCCGGUAAACGGCGGCCGUAACUAUAACGGUCCUAAGGUAGCGAAAUUCCUUGUCGGGUAAGUUCCGACCUGCACGAAUGG
rnacentral:rRNA from 1 species